UCAGGCACGCGGUUUUAUCUUAGUGGAAUCCAUACCUACUUCAGAAAUUAUGAAGCGCCGAAUGCAGCUGGUUUCUUAAUGUUUGUGGCGUUCAUUCAUCGACAGGGAACGUGCUGGGAGUGUGGCGGGAAGGAGGAGGAGUAGGAGGAGGAGGAGGUUCAUCUGCGACGUGGCGAAGUCUGCUGUGGGAGUGCUGAGUCAAAGUCAACUCCGUAGUCGACAACGAUGAAGGGGAUUCCCUACCCAAGAACGAGGCAGGGGACGAAGGGAUUUCGCUGCAUUACUCAGAUAAGUAGUGCCUCAUUUCGGUAUUCAAGGUGUUACCCAAGGAUGUUUAAUAGGUGGAGGCGGUCUGCUGUCUCUAGCCCCCUUCUCCCAUUGACUCAAAACAAAUAUCAGCUGAUCCUGGGAAAUGCAUUACUUCCAUUAAUCCAUGAAAAUAC